AGCAGUACUGAUGAUGAUCUCUGUGUCAUCAACAAGUGU
rnacentral:sRNA from 1 species